UGUCCACGCUCCCACCCACACCUAAGACAUGGAGCGGCAGAUGGGAGAAAGUCCUGUCCGGAUUUGCAAAAUAAAAUGAAAUAAAAAGGCCAGAUGGAGCGAAGCCCCCAACGCUUUUGGUGAGGCUCGUUGUCUUUUGCCGGGGAGCACACGCGAGUCCCGGGGCCGAAAAGGCUGUAAAAAGAGAAAUCCGGAACCCAGAGACACAUCUGAAAAAGGCACCUACCUUAGUCGUGGCAAAGCUGCAGUGGCUCCAAGUGUUCUUUUGCACACAUCCAGAUUUUUCUAGGGAAGCCUGAGUGAGGGUAGGAUUCGGGAGGCUGUGUGGUCCAGGAGCCUGUGCUUGCUUUCUCUCGAAUCCCAAGCAGAUCUGCUCAUCCAAAGGAAUGUGGGGACCACCGGCUGGUCCUUGUGGAGGAAAUUCGUCGUGUCUGCCCCCGAAGAGUCGGGAAGAACAAGCAACACAGUCCGAGCAGGGAGGGCAGACCGAGGUCUGAAUAAGAGCUCUGUGCUGAGAGACAGAGACGGGUCUGCAAGGAAAAGGGGAGAUUGAAGAGAGAGCUCCCGAUGUCUCCCCGGUCCCCCUCUGCUAUUGGACCAAACUGAAUGGAAUUUACAAAGCCAGCAGCCAAUAGAUCUCCGCACUGGGUCCCAUCACUACAGAAACCACAUCCACAGCUACAAGCGAAUGCAAAGAGCAGCUAAUCCCAGUGCAAACCAGCUGUAACCGAGGUCCCCUCCCGGGGCCAGGGGUGGCGGAACAGGCCUACGAAUGUAUUUGUUGAAGGCAAAAGAUGAUGGCCGCUACCCAGACGACUUGGAUGGCAAACUUAGGCAUCCAACCUGCCGGAUGCCUGUGUGGCUCAGUGGUUGAGCGUCUGCCU